rnacentral:tRNA from 1 species
AUAUCCGCAAACUUUGGUACGAGAAGUGGGACUCGAACCCACAAGGAAAUCAUUCCGCAGCAUUUUAAGUGCUG